CUCUAGCCGCGGCGUCAGAGCGCUCUACGUGCCUUGCCAUUGUGGACGGGUAGUGAGCUAGGGCGCCCGGGGCUCCUUUAUUGCACUCUAACUUUCAAGUAUAGCCAAGCCCUUAAUCAUGAGAGUUAACUGUGAUUAACCAACAGCCCUAAU